UCUUUUUUGAAGUAACGUCUGUAUUUUAUAAGAUAAGUAUCUGGAAGAAGUGCCCUACAAAUUCUUCAUGUAUUACAUUCCUAAAACUUAACAGCAACACACACACAUGUUGGAAAGAACAAUUGAACAAAGGAAAAGUUAGUUUUUUUUCAGUAAUAUUUCAAGAUAUACACCCAUAAACUUAUUUUAAUUCAAAAUGCAUGCGUAAAGAUAUAAACUAUUUUUUAAAAUUCAAAAUACACAAAUAUAAACUCUGUCCCUAAGCUUAGGUAGGGUGAUUGACACACACAAACUAAUCACACACAUUCUAUGCUAUAAUAAGAAUUUGAUAAUCUUUGGUGGUUCAUUAAACACUGAACACAGAAACAACAUGAGAAUUUAUUUAAGUAGAAAAUCAUGACACCCGGAGUAUAGGUUGCUAGACCCUGUUCACCUGCAAGACCUUCUCUCCCUUAUAUAAUUAGGUAUUCACACGUCUGAUAAAGUGACAAAAAAUUUAUAUAUAUAUAUAUAUAUAU